AUAGCCGACUCCAAAUUUUUUGGAAAAAGGCAUAGCUAAGUUGAGUUUUUAAUAAUCUCCAAGGAUGCCAAACAAUGAUUAAAAAAAGUAAGAAUUAUGGAUCAUCAACUGAUAUGAAUGCAUCUGAUUGAUCUCAUUCAACUCCUAAGGUGAAUUUCCAAGGACUUGGGGCAGUUUGCUGCAGCUUGGUUUGAAUGCAUGGGUUGUUGGAAAUUAUGUUGCUGAGUUUGGUUGGUUUUGGCAACUUCAGACAUGAAAAUUUUAGAUAAGAGUUGAUGGGAAGAAGGCAUGAUAUUCUUCUAAUUAUUAUUUUUCUUUUGUUAGGUAGGAUGGUAUUGGGCAAGAUUUUAUACUUGCAUAAAUUCAUUUAAAAGAAAAAAAAUGUGUUUAAUCAACAUUAGAAAUGGAUUAGACAAAUCAUAAAGGGACCAAAUAUGCAAAUCAGCUAGGAUUUGGAUAUGGAAUGAAAUUUAAAAAAUCUAUUGAAUUAAUAGACUGUAUUGGAUUUUGUAUCUCAUUUACGACACUGAGUUAGUAUUUACCUUGAUUCAGUCCAAAUCUGACCCAUGGACAGCUCUAAUUGGAGGUCAUGCCUACUGUUUUGGUAGAAAUAUGGCGAAAUCUGACCCAUGGUAAACUGCGACGGUUGAAAUUGUGUUUCUUUCUUUACAAUUAUGUUAUUCCCUUUUAUCUUGCCUUGUUUUGAUAAAGUUUCCCAGUUAUUGUUCUUAAUCAUGUUGGCUAUCAUGUGAGUUAGUGAGAUCAGCCUUUUAGCUUGUGUUUUGAGUGCUUAACCCUGGCUAUGUAUUCACACAAAUAUUACACAUAAAGGAAAGGUUCAAGAAAGCAUGUCUCAAAAUUGGAAACAUUAUAGAUGUGUCAUUUUA
rnacentral:misc_RNA from 1 species